rnacentral:misc_RNA from 1 species
AGCAAGACCUCCGCAACGUAAAAUCUGCAAGUUAGAAUUUAUGAAGAAACAAUGAUCACUAUCAAGCAUUUAUAUAAUUAUUAUUAACAAAAAAACAAAGGCAGCAAGUUAUGAACUUUAGCUCAAAAGUUUUAUAAAAAAUGGGACCAACAGAUUUGCACAUAGCUCAAUGUAACAAAUUAUAUGAGAACAUUGCAGCUGAAACCAAUAUAUAAUAUCAUUCUGGUAUUACUGUUAAUCUUUGUGCUUUGAACUCAAAAUCAACUUGUAUGAGCAUGGACUUAUGCUUUAUAAUUCUAAUUAAAACAGUUGCAAAAUAACUAUAUUCUAAUGAUCAUAAGCUAAUGGAAGAUAUCUCUCAGAAAUAUACUUUCUCAUAUUUUAACUUCUAAGCAAUAUGGCAUAUGUGAAAAGCUAACCCUAUCAGACAAGUAUCAGAGAGUGUGACAUUUCCAAUUUGAACAACCACAACAGUUCAUGCGUCAGGAAACAUCAAUUGUACAUUAUCUUAAUGUCACAACUUGACUCUUGCACUAUCACAUUCCAGGAAUAGCAUAACCUGACAUGUUAUGGGAGUGGAAAUUACAAAUUACAAAGCAAAAGAAGUUUCACAAGCACCUUCAGUUUAUAGACUAGGAGUAGGACAAAGGUGUUGUUUAUACUUCAAACAAUGGUAAAAGAAGGGAAGCAGCAUUUUUAGAUGGAGAUAAGGACACAACUAUGUGAAUAUAUAUUUAUAAAUGACAACAGAAUCACUUCAUUCAUGCAUUUAGGUGUAAGUUGGGAUAAAUCUACAAUCAUCUAAUAAGACAUCAAAGGUACAAGAGUGAGAUAGGCACAGAUAAUGCAACUCCAAUUUUAGAUAAAUUACAACAGUCAAAGGUACAUCAACUGUUACUCUUCCAGACUGAUGCAAGGCUAUCAAAGACAAAAACUGCUAGAUGCAAAUUGUUUCAUGGAUCAACCAUACAGCACUUUUUUUUUUUUUGGGUCCAUCAGUAGCCUGCUGGCAUUAGAUUAAACAACAGGAGAGCACCUGAUGUAGGAAAUCUUAGAGAUUUUAGGACUACUAAUUUCAGGAAAAAGUAUAGGGAAAAGUUAUAUUUUAUUUAGAUGUUUUAUUUGAUUUGUGAUUCCUA